AAGUCGUAACAAGGUUUCCGUAGGUGAACCUGCGGAAGGAUCAUUACUGAAUUGUCAAACGGGUUGUUGCUGGCCCUCAUAGGGGGCAUGUGCACGCUCUGUUUACACAUCCACUCACACCUGUGCACCCUCUGUAGUUCUAUGGUCUGGGGGACCCUGUCUUCCUUCUGUGGUUCUACGUCUUUACACACACACUGCAAUAAAGUUUUAUGGAAUGUACAUCGCGUCUAACGCAAUACAAUACAACUUUCAGCAACGGAUCUCUUGGCUCUC
rnacentral:misc_RNA from 1 species